CCUACGGGUGGCUGCAGUGGGGAAUAUUGCACAAUGGGCGCAAGCCUGAUGCAGCCAUGCCGCGUGUGUGAAGAAGGCCUUCGGGUUGUAAAGCACUUUCAGCGGGGAGGAAGGCGUUAAGGUUAAUAACCUUGUCGAUUGACGUUACCCGCAGAAGAAGCACCGGCUAACUCCGUGCCAGCAGCCGCGGUAAUACGGAGGGUGCAAGCGUUAAUCGGAAUUACUGGGCGUAAAGCGCACGCAGGCGGUCUGUCAAGUCGGAUGUGAAAUCCCCGGGCUCAACCUGGGAACUGCAUUCGAAACUGGCAGGCUAGAGUCUUGUAGAGGGGGGUAGAAUUCCAGGGGUAGCGGUGAAAUGCGUAGAGAUCUGGAGGAAUACCGGUGGCGAAGGCGGCCCCCUGGACAAAGACUGACGCUCAGGUGCGAAAGCGUGGGGAGCAAACAGGAUUAGAUACCCGUGUAGUC
rnacentral:rRNA from 1 species